GCUAAAGCCAUAUCACACUGCCUCUUAAGACCGGUUUCCCACUGAAGCUAAGCAGGGCUGAGCCUGGUCAGUACCUGAAUGGGAGACCACAUGGGAAUACUAGGUUGCUGUUAGAA
ensembl:rRNA 5S_rRNA 5S ribosomal RNA